rnacentral:rRNA from 1 species
AUACGUAGGUGACAAGCGUUAUCCGGAUUUACUGGGCGUAAAGGGCGUGUAGGCGGUCUUGCAAGUCAGAAGUGAAAUUCCUGAGCUCAACUCGGGCGCUGCUUCUGAAACUGCAGGACUUGAGUGCUGGAGGGGAUAGCGGAAUUCCUAGUGGAGCGGUAAAAUGCGCAGAUAUUAGGAAGAACACCGGUGGCGAAGGCGGAUUUCUGGACGGUAAUUGACGAUGAGGCGCGAAAGCGUGGGGUGCAAACAGGAUUAGAUACCAGGGUAGUCCACGCCGUAAACGAUGAAUACUAGGUGGAGGGGGUAUCGACUCCCUCUGUGCCGCAGUUAACACAAUAAGGAUUCCGCCUGGGGAGUACGGCCGCAAGGUUGAAGCUCAAAGGAAUUGACGGGG